rnacentral:lncRNA from 1 species
CAGCAAAGGAGCCGGGGCUGGCUGCUGGUGGUGGGAAGGCAGAGGCAGAAGAAUUAGCUAAACAAAAGAAAUCAUGGCGGAGCGCUUGCUUAUUUGAUGCCCUGAAAGGCUGUGUGGAUUAUGGACUUCAAAACCUAUCCCAAGAGGUGGCCAGAAACGUCGCCACGGCCCGGAAGAAAAACUUGUUUCUGAAAAAUUGAAUCGCAGCUGUAGUAGCAGAUAAGACUGACAUUCGGUUCUUAGAAAGAAGCAAUCAAUGUUGAAUGUAUCAGGUGAGUUCAUUUCUCUUGCUCUGCUUUAAUAGCUUAUAAAGAAGAUUGAUUAGGUUCUUGUCUGACAGAUC